GUCGAGAGGUCCUGCGCCGAAAAUGUCCGGGGCUAAAACACGACACCGAAGCUGUGGAUCCGAAAGGAUGGUAGAGGAGCAUUCUUAAGUCGACGAAGCUGUACUGUAAGGAGCAGUGGAGAGUUAAGAAGAGAGAAUGCCGGAAUGAGUAGCGAGAUUUAAGUGAGAAUCUUAAAGGCCGAAUAUCUAAGGUUUCCAGGGUAAAGCUGAUCUUCCCUGGGUAAGUCGGGGCCUAAGGCGAGGACGAAAGUCGUAGUCGAUGGAUAACAGGUUGAAAUUCCUGUACUGCUUAUGAACAGAACUGUGGGGACGCAGAAGGAGAGCACGAGCCGGAAAUGGAAAAGCCGGUACAAGCGUAUAGCAGUCACAUAGGAAAAUCCGUGUGAGAAAUGUAAAGCGUGAUGUGGAUCGAACAUUAGUAGAGAAGCGUGUGAGCCAGCUGCCAAGAAAAGCCGCUAUUGUUUCAUAAGUACCCGUACCGUAAACCGACACAGGUGGAUGAGGAGAGAAUCCUAAGGCCGGCGGGAGAAGCAUUGUUAAGGAACUCGGCAAAAUGACCCCGUAACUUCGGGAGAAGGGGUGCUCCAGAGAUGGAGCCGCAGAGAACUGGCCCAAGCAACUGUUUAGCAAAAACACAGGUCUAUGCAAAACCGAAAGGUGAGGUAUAUGGGCUGACGCCUGCCCGGUGCUGGAAGGUUAAGAGGAGAGGUUAGAGCAAUCGAAGCUUUGAAUUUAAGCCCCAGUAAACGGCGGCCGUAACUAUAACGGUCCUAAGGUAGCGAAAUUCCUUGUCGGGUAAGUUCCGACCCGCACGAAAGGCGUAAUGAUUUGGGCACUGUCUCAACAACACACCCGGUGAAAUUGAAAUACCAGUGAAGAUGCUGGUUACCUGCGCCAGGACGGAAAGACCCCAUGGAGCUUUACUCCAGUUUGAUACUGGGAUUCGGUACUGUCUGUACAGGAUAGGUGGGAGGCUAGGAAAUGGUGACGCCAGUUGCCAUGGAGCCAACCUUGGGAUACCACCCUUACAGUACUGGGUUUCUAACCUGCAGCCGUGACCCGGCUGGGGGACAAUGUCUGACGGGGAGUUUGACUGGGGCGGUCGCCUCCGAAAGAGUAUCGGAGGCGCUCAAAGGUUCCCUCAGAAUGGUUGGAAACCAUUCGAAGAGUGCAAAGGCAGAAGGGAGCUUGACUGCGACACCGACGGGUGGAGCAGGU
rnacentral:rRNA from 1 species